UGGGGAAUAUUGCACAAUGGGCGCAAGCCUGAUGCAGCCAUGCCGCGGGUAUGAAGAAGGCCUUCGGGUUGUAAAGUACUUUCAGCGGGGAGGAAGGCGAUAAGGUUAAUAACCUUGUCGAUUGACGUUACCCGCAGAAGAAGCACCGGCUAACUCCGUGCCAGCAGCCGCGGUAAUACGGAGGGUGCAAGCGUUAAUCGGAAUUACUGGGCGUAAAGCGCACGCAGGCGGUCUGUCAAGUCGGAUGUGAAAUCCCCGGGCUCAACCUGGGAACUGCAUUCGAAACUGGCAGGCUAGAGUCUUGUAGAGGGGGGUAGAAUUCCAGGUGUAGCGGUGAAAUGCGUAGAGAUCUGGAGGAAUACCGGUGGCGAAGGCGGCCCCCUGGACAAAGACUGACGCUCAGGUGCGAAAGCGUGGGGAGCAAACA
rnacentral:rRNA from 1 species